rnacentral:misc_RNA from 1 species
CGGCGAACGAACACAUUGUCCCCUCUUCGGUGGGUCGUGGCGCCUCGCGGCGUCGCGGCCGGCCGUCUCCCCUCGUCGCGAACUCUCUCGAGGCGCGGCGUGGGGUUUCCACGAUGCCCCACCUUGACCGAAUGACUGAGUCCCGAACAUUUGCUUGGAUACGGAAGUGGCGAGUGUCGUUCCGUUUCCCUUUCGGGAGCGACUUCGCGUCGCUUGCGAAGGGGGGUCGGCGCGCGCUGGUCAUACCUUCCUCAUGGCGAGUUGUGAAACGUGACCCGAAACAACUCUCAGCAACGGAUAUCUUGGCUCUUGCAACGAUGAAGAACGCAGCGAAAUGCGAUACGUAGUGUGAAUUGCAGAAUUCCGCGAAUCAUCGAGUCUUUGAACGCAAGUUGCGCCCGAGGCUUGCCGAGGGCAUUUCCGCUAGAGCGUCACCGCGCCCCCACCGACCCGCCCCCAGGGGGGUCGAGUGGAAUUGGCCGUCCCGGUCUCGGCCUUCGCGCCGAGUGAGUGAGGGGUCGGCUGAAAUGGAUGGAAUUGGGCCGCCGUGGUGACGCAGUCCGCGAUCGGGUGUUUUUUCGGUGGCCUCCUCCCGCGGGAGGAGGGCCGUGAAUUUUUCUAAGUGCGUGGCUGCGUCCCCCAGUUGGUUGGUUACCUCGUGCAGGUCUUGCGCGC